AGUGAACGCUGGCUGCGUGCCUAAUACAUGCAAGUCGAACGGAGUGGCGCACGGGUGAGUAAUGUAUAGCUAAUCUGCCCUACACUAGAGGACAACAGUUGGAAACGGCUGCUAAUACUCUAUAGUGUAUGAUGAGGAUAUAUUGUAUCAGCUAGUUGGUGAGGUAAUGGCUCACCAAGGCUAUGACGGCUAACUGGUCUGAGAGGAUGAUCAGUCACACUGGAAUUGAGACACGGUCCAGACUCCUACGGGAAGCAGCAGUAGGGAAUAUUGCUCAAUGGGGGAGACCCUGAAUCAACAUCGCCGCGUGGAGGAUGACACUUUUCGGAGCGUAAACUCCUUUUGUUAGGGAAGCGGUACCUAACGAAUAAGCACCGGCUAACUCCGUGCCAGCCGCCGCGGUAAUUC
rnacentral:rRNA from 1 species